rnacentral:rRNA from 1 species
GUAGGUGGCAAGCGUUGUCCGGAAUUAUUGGGCGUAAAGCGCGCGCAGGGCGGUCCUUUAAGUCUGAUGUGAAAGCCCGCGGCUCAACCGUGGAGGGUCAUUGGAAACUGGGGGACUUGAGUACAGAAGAGGAAAGCGGAAUUCCAAGUGUAGCGGUGAAAUGCGUAGAGAUUUGGAGGAACACCAGUGGCGAAGGCGGCUUUCUGGUCUGUAACUGACGCUGAGGCGCGAAAGCGUGGGGAGCAAACAGGAUUAGAUACCCUGGUAGUCCGCGCCGUAAACGAUGAGUGCUAAGUGUUAGGGGGUUUCCGCCCCUUAGUGCUGCAGCUAACGCAUUAAGCACUCCGCCUGGGGAGUACGGCCGCAAGGCUG